CCCUCCUACAAAUGUGUAUUUGGUUCCCUGUCUUUGGACACAUAAGAAUUGAAGGAAAAGAAAAGUGGAUUUGGAGAUAUCUGGACCUGCUUGUUCCUCUUGGGGUCAGAAUCAAUCAUCCCAUAUGA
ensembl:snoRNA